UAAAUAGGUGAAGACACUAAAAUAAUGUAAUUAUUUUAUUGUGUUAAAUUACUAUUUGCUGCUGAACAAACUAUUUUUUUGCUUGAUAAUUGCCCUGCUGUGGAUCUCUUUUUUUAUUGUUGGUGUUAGGAAACAAUCAUUUUUACAAUUAUUUCUCUGGUUGAUUAUUUAUGAUGAAAUUUAAAUUCCUUUUGCAGGCUUCAGAUUUUAAUCCAGUUUGAAUAUGUUUUAUUGUUUAGUGUUAUUUUUGUGAGAAAGUAAACUCCACUUUUCUGAGUUGCACUUUUUGAAAAAGUUUAUUUUGUUUGUGAUGUGCAGUUUUCAGAUUUAAACAUAUUUGAAGUGUGUUUUCAGUAUGGACAAAUAAAGGCACAACAUUACACUUUUAGUCACCUGCAUAAAUUCAGUUUUGUUCCACAAAACGUGGACACAUCCAGACCUACACUGGAUCCAUCAUGCCCCGCCUUACAUCAAACUUUUUUUUUAACCGACUGGCUGCACAAUCAGAUCCCUUCUGAGUGGGCUGAGGCUAAAGAGUGGGCCCUCUCCCACUGGAUAAUGCCAUUAUUUCAGCUCCUCUGGCCAGGAAUGCCAAAUUUCACAGCCCGCUUCUCCUCUCUGUGCGUCAAUCAAAGCUUCGCCAGGGGCCGCGCGCACAUAGAUCCACCUCCGUGCCACAUUUGAUUAUUGAUCUCUCACUUUUUCAUCACAAUGAGAUCACCAAUAAACGUGCAUCCUCUGGCGCAGAUGGUGUUUUUGGAGCAUUUCGUUGAAACGUCUCGUUGCGCACGAGCCUCGUUAUAUUUCUACAUUUUAUUUCAAACAGCUCCCGCCGGCAGACACAACAGGUUUAGUCCGUAUUUGAAUUUAUGAUCAGGAUUUUACUGAGUCUUCAGGGGGCAAUUAAGCGCUCAUUUUAAUCGCUUUAUUAAUACGCGCCAUAAAAAGUAAAUAUGAUUAAACUAAUAAAGUAUCCAGAUAUAAUGAGAUGGAUGAUAAGAAAUUUGUGAAUGGGAGUUUUUUUUUUUUUUUUUUUUUUUUUUUUUUUUUAUCAGGUAUUCGUUGUGCGCCGUGACGCUGCUCGUGCGCGCAGCCAAUCGCGCGUCGGGUGGAACUGUGGAACACGGCGAAUCCAAACCAAUGGCUGGUCACGGAGCAAAGACUAGCGCAAGAAGCAGCCAAUCAGCGGGAGGCAUGCAAAGGAGGAAUUUGCUCCGGCUGGCUGUGAAUGUCAAGUAGUCAAAGAUGGAGUCCGGAUCCGUGAGGCUGUGUGCUUGCGCACGGAAGACUUGUGAUUUUUUUUUUUUUCUUUUUAAUCUUGCAGCUCUGCGCAUUUGGUUCUUAUUGGCUCUGCUUCUUUUAGGAAUGACGGCGUGGAUUCCCAAAGCAAAGGACGGUGAAGUGUUGUUUGUGCACAGGAUUGUUUUUCUUUGUUUUAUGGACAACUUUUUGUUGCCCCCCCCCCCCCCCCCCGGUCUCUAACGGAUUGUCCCUCCCUGUGGCUGUAGAUACUAUGAUUUUGGAGGAGGGGGGGAGAGAGUCCACUGUGAGUUGUUGCAUUAAAAAAAAUGCGUAAAAUGCCAGGAGCUGUGCGUAAACUUGGGAGUUGCGCGGGGCACAGUCGAAGAUUGUAGGUUGUCCAAAGAGUUGCGCGCAUCUAGAAGCUCAAGUAGAAGGGGAGAAAAAACUUGCCCACCACGCGAUAUUAUUUAUUUGUUUGUUUAUUUCCUCCCCCUCACAGAUGAACGCUUUACUGGCUGUGAGGGGGCUGUUUUUUUCUGCAGCUGUGUGCAGCCUGUCGGCUGUUGUGCAAUCUAACAAGUCGUCAGGGCUCUGGUGUAGGCUCGGAGCGGUUUUUGCGGUGCAGAUCCAGCGAUCAGGAGGAGGCGUGUAGGCCUGCCACACAGAUGAAACGCAAACCUUUCGAGAACAGGUGUCACUGCUCCAGCGUCUGAACCCAAAUGUAAGCGCCACAGCGGCGUGUUUGUUUUGAUGACUGUCUCCAGGCCUCUCCGUUGGAAACAUCCAACCGCAGUCUGCAGAACAACAUACAGUACAUUAAAAACGAAUUCCACUCUCAGGUAAAAUCUGGAUUAUUCUCCAAAGUUUUAUAAGCCGAACGUUAGAAGUGACUCAGGUGUUCAAUGUGUUUUUGUCAGAUUGUGCACUGAAGACUUGUAAAGCAAAUGAAAACCUCACUCACUUGACUGUGUGAAAUUCUCCCCAAGUAAAGAACGUGACUUGUUUGGGCUUGCUUGCAAUGCUUUCUGGGAAAUCCUGGAAUGUGUGGAAUGGGGGACGGUGGUGCUUCUGCAGCUAUCUGACUGCAUAGAGCAGCGAAUGAAACCCAACAUGUCAGUGGAGCUUGAGAGCAGCUUUUCCUGUCAAAUACAGGAACCGUGGUGCAGAAACUAAAAGCUUAAAUGAGUGAAUGUCUUCUGUAUUUUAUUAAAGUGGAGCGUGUGCAAAAACUAUAGGCAUGAUGUCAAAUGUUUCAU